UACGUAGGGGGCAAGCGUUGUCCGGAUUUAUUGGGCGUAAAGAGCGUGUAGGCGGCCAUGUAGGUCCGUUGUGAAAACUCGAGGCUCAACCUCGAGACGCCGAUGGAAACCAUGUGGCUAGAGUCCGGAAGAGGAGAGUGGAAUUCCUGGUGUAGCGGUGGAAUGCGCAGAUAUCAGGAGGAACACCAAUAGCGAAGGCAGCUCGCUGGGACGGUAUUGACGCUGAGGCGCGAAAGCGUGGGGAGCAAACAGG
rnacentral:rRNA from 1 species